rnacentral:rRNA from 1 species
GCAGUAGCCACGGUAAUACGGAGGGUGCAAGCGUUAUCCGGAUUUAUUGGGUUUAAAGGGUCCGUAGGCGGAUCUGUAAGUCAGUGGUGAAAUCUCACAGCUUAACUGUGAAACUGCCAUUGAUACUGCAGGUCUUGAGUAAAUUUGAAGUGGCUGGAAUAAGUAGUGUAGCGGUGAAAUGCAUAGAUAUUACUUAGAACACCAAUUGCGAAGGCAGGUCACUAAGAUUUAACUGACGCUGAUGGACGAAAGCGUGGGGAGCGAACAGGAUUAGAGACCCCCGUAGUCCCUGUCUCUUAUAC